rnacentral:lncRNA from 1 species
GCUGCGGAAGAAAGUGAGUUCAUGCGAGCGUGUCGACCAGUAAUUUCGGCUGCCAGCAGCUCAGCAGCGGGUGACUGACUGAAUGAAUUUGUGCAGCAAAUAUAUUUAAACCUCGGAUCA